AACGGAUUUAGCGGCGGACGGGUGAGUAACACGUCGGGCAACCUGCCUCAUAGAGGGGAAUAGCCUUCCGAAAGGGAGAUUAAUACCGCAUAAGAUUGUAGUACCGCAUGGUACAGCAAUUAAAGGAGCAAUCCGCUAUGAGAUGGGCCCGCGGCGCAUUAGCUAGUUGGUGAGGUAACGGCUCACCAAGGCGACGAUGCGUAGCCGACCUGAGAGGGUGAUCGGCCACAUUGGGACUGAGAAACGGUCCAGACUCCUACGGGAGGCAGCAGUGAGGAAUAUUGGGCAAUGGAGGGAACUCUGACCCAGCAACGCCGCGUGAAGGAAGAAGGUUUUCGGAUUGUAAACUUCUGUUAUAGGGGAAAAAGAAAGUGAUGGUACCCUAUGAGAAAGCUACGGCAAACUAUGUG
rnacentral:rRNA from 1 species